rnacentral:rRNA from 1 species
AACGAACGCUGGCGGCGUGCAUAACACAUGCAAGUCGUACGAGAAAGUUGGCUUCGGCCGAUGAGUAAAGUGGCGCACGGGUGAGUAACGCGUGGAUAAUCUACCCUUUAGUUGGGAAUAACUCACCGAAAGGUGGGCUAAUACCGAAUGAUACUGCACAACUACUGUUGUGUACUCAAAGAUGGCCUCUGCUUGCAAGCUUUCGCUGAAGGAUGAGUCCGCGUACCAUUAGCUAGUUGGUAGGGUAAUGGCCUACCAAGGCUGCGAUGGUUAGCUGGUCUGAGAGGAUGAUCAGCCACACUGGAACUGACACACGGUCCAGACUCCUACGGGAGGCAGCAGUGAGGAAUAUUGCGCAAUGGGGGCAACCCUGACGCACCAACGCCGCGUGAGUGAGGAAGGUUUUCGGACCGUAAAGCUCUGUCGAGCGAGAAGAAAUGUGUAAUGGCUAAUAUCCAUUAUACUUGACGGUACCGCUAGAGGAAGCACCGGCUAACUCCGUGCCAGCAGCCGCGGUAAUACGGGGGGUGCAAGCGUUGUUCGGAAUCAUUGGGCGUAAAGAGCGUGUAGGCGGCUGAAUAAGUCAGAUGUGAAAGCCCUGGGCUUAACUCACGAAGUGCAUUUGAAACUGUUCGGCUGGAGUAAGGGAGAGGAAAGUGGAAUUCCCGGUGUAGAGGUGAAAUUCGUAGGUAUCAGGAGGAACACCGGUGGCGAAGGCGACUUUCUGGCCCUAUACUGACGCUGAGACGCGAGAGCGUGGGUAGCAAACAGGA